UACGGGGGGGGCAAGCGUUGCUCGGAAUCACUGGGCGUAAAGCGCACGUAGGCGGAUUGUUAAGUCAGGGGUGAAAUCCUGGAGCUCAACUCCAGAACUGCCUUUGAUACUGGCGAUCUUGAGUCCGGGAGAGGUGAGUGGAACUGCGAGUGUAGAGGUGAAAUUCGUAGAUAUUCGCAAGAACACCAAUGGCGAAAGCAGCUCUCUGGGACGGUACUGACGCUGAGACGCGAAAGCGUGGGGAGCGAACAGG
rnacentral:rRNA from 1 species